GAUGAACGCUGGCGGCGUGCCUAAUACAUGCAAGUCGAGCGAACAGACGAGGAGCUUGCUCCUCUGACGUUAGCGGCGGACGGGUGAGUAACACGUGGAUCACCUACCUAUAAGACUGGGAUAACUUCGGGAAACCGGAGCUAAUACCGGAUAAUAUAUUGUACCGCAUGGUUCAAUAGUGAAAGACGGUUUUGCUGUCACUUAUAGAUGGAUCCGCGCUGCAUUAGCUAGUUGGUAAGGUAACGGCUUACCAAGGCAACGAUGCGUAGCCGACCUGAGAGGGUGAUCGGCCACACUGGAACUGAGACACGGUCCAGACUCCUACGGGAGGCAGCAGUAGGGAAUCUUCCGCAAUGGGCGAAAGCCUGACGGAGCAACGCCGCGUGAGUGAUGAAGGUCUUCGGAUCGUAAAACUCUGUUAUUAGGGAAGAACAAAUGUGUAAGUAACUAUGCACGUCUUGACGGUACCUAAUCAGAAAGCCACGGCUAACUACGUG
rnacentral:rRNA from 1 species